rnacentral:rRNA from 1 species
UCCGUAGGUGGAAAAUUAAGUCAGAGGUGAAAUCCUGCAGCUCAACUGUAGAAUUGCCUUUGAUACUGGUUAUCUUGAGUCAUUAUGAAGUGGUUAGAAUGUGUAGUGUAGCGGUGAAAUGCAUAGAUAUUACACAGAAUACCGAUUGCGAAGGCAGAUCACUAAUAAUGUACUGACACUGAGGGACGAAAGCGUGGGGAGCGAACAGGAUUAGAUACCCUGGUAGUCC